rnacentral:ncRNA from 1 species
GCAAAGGCAUAAGGGAGCUUGACUGCGACACCGACGGGUGGAGCAGGUACGAAAGUAGGACUUAGUGAUCCGGUGGUAUAAAGUGGGAUUGCCAUCGCUCAACGGAUAAAAGCUACCCUGGGGAUAACAGGCUUAUCACUCCCAAGAGUUCACAUCGACGGAGUGGUUUGGCACCUCGAUGUCGGCUCAUCGCAUCCUGGGGCUGGAGUAGGUCCCAAGGGUUGGGCUGUUCGCCCAUUAAAGCGGUACGCGAGCUGGGUUCAGAACGUCGUGAGACAGUUCGGUCCCUAUCCGGCGCGGGCGUAGGAUAUUUGAGAGGAGCUGUCCUUAGUACGAGAGGACCGGGAUGGACCGGCCGCUGGUGAAUCUGUUGUUCCACCAGGAGCAUGGCAGAGUAGCCAAGCCGGGCGGGGAUAAACGCUGAAGGCAUCUAAGCGUGAAGCCCCCCUCAAGAUGAGAUAUCCCAUGAAGUUAAUUCAGUAAGACCCCUUGAAGACGACGAGGUAGAUAGGGCGGAGGUGGAAGUGCAGUAAUGUAUGUAGCUGACCGUCACUAAUAGGUCGAGGGCAUAACCAA